rfam:Gossypium raimondii Chr06_contig_1305, whole genome shotgun sequence.
UGUUAAAAAUUUCAUCUAUUUUUAUUAUUAAAAAUUAGCGUGAUUGAUGGAAUAACCAAAUAGUUACACGUGACGUACCACGUUUACCUUGUUCUAGCGUAAAGAGACCGAUUUUUAAUAGUAAAAAUAGAUAAAAUUUUUAAUA